rnacentral:rRNA from 1 species
GUACACGCUGUGACUAGCAUAUCAAUAAGCGGAGGAAAAGAAACUAACAAGGAUUCCCUUAGUAACGGCGAGUGAAGCGGGAAGAGCUCAAAUUUGAAAUCUUGAAAGGUCACCUUUCACGAAUUGUAGUUUAAAGAAGUGUUUUCUGUUACGAUCGUAAUAUAAGUUCUUUGGAAUAGGACAUCACAGAGGGUGAGAAUCCCGUCUAUGAUUGCGAUUUGUAGCUUUGUGAUACACUUUCAAAGAGUCGGGUUGUUUGGGAAUGCAGCCCAAGACGGGAGGUAAAUUUCAUUCUAAAGCUAAAUAUUGGCGAGAGACCGAUAGGCGAACAAGUACCGUGAGGGAAAGAUGAAAAGAACUUUGAAAAGAGAGUUAAAUAGUACGUGAAAUUGUCAAAAGGGAAGCGUUUAACACCAGUGUUGUUUUCUGAAAAUCAACCUCUGUUAGCUUUAUGCAUGUUUGUUUAGACCUAAUCAGCUAUCUUUCAUGUUCUAUUGUUUGCAGUGGUGCACUUUUCAGUUUACAGGUCAACAUCAGUUUUUUUUACCGUAAAAAAGUUAAAGAAAGGUAGCUCAGUGGCUCCGGUCGUGAGUGUUAUAGUCUUUUUCCUAUGCGGUAGGAGAGACUGAGGUCUGCAGUGUAGGCUAUUUGGCUAGAUACUCAGGUGCUAUGUGAUACCAUUUCAUAAACAACUUGUUGAUUAUGUUUUGUCUAUUGCAUACUCGCUUGUACUAUCAUACCUACGCUUAGGAUGUUGAGUAGCGACAUACGCA